GUCGUGUAUGAUUAAUAUAUUUAUUCUGACAGUAAUGCAUCCAAAGUUGUUUUAGUUUCGCGUCUGGUUGUUUUAGGAAAGAAAUCGUUAGGUUUCCUUUAGAAAUCAGUAAUAAGGUUGUUAUUAUUACGCAGGGAAGCAGGUUAGGUGAUAGAAUAACGUAAUACAUUAGCUUUUGAGUUUUCAUUUAUAAUGUUUACUUUUUGUAGGCCUAUCUAGUAUAAUGUUUGUUAUUUGUUAUGAAGGUAAGCUAUAGCCAGUGGGAAGGAAAUGUUACAUUAUUGCUCUUACUUAUUCCAUAAAAAUCCAUACGAGCUGUCAUCUGUCUCGUCGGACAGCCAACCUAUUCUGUAAAUCCCUUUCUCUGCUCGCAUCAGCAUUCUAUUCUCUCCAUGCAACCCGCAGCUCAACUCUCUGCUUCGGCUAUGGGCUCUCCCGUACCCGAGGUCUUACUGAUCCGCUCUUGUCAUGAAACACACUAGACUUACAAAACACACACACACACAUAGGCCUACCGAUCGAUUUGCAUGUGACUCCGUCAGGGAAUCAGCAAGAAUCGACUUUAACAUCGCUUCAAAGAAGCAAACAGGAAUGAAAAAUAAAAGAAAAUGAUGGACAAAGUGGGGGGAGAGAAAAGUAGAGGAACUGAGAUGUAAAGCGGGGCGGAGGGAAAUACACAUGUAAGAAACGAAUCGGAAAGUGAUAAUGUUGCUUAAUAUAAAGGAUUUUAUCAACCCGUGAUGGUGCUGAAAACAGCGGACCGAUCAAGUGGUAUAUCUGUCAAAAUAAGAAUGCGGACGGUGUUUCUCUUUCGCGGGACAUACACGGACCCACAAGCUGGACUAAUGUGCUCCUUUCCUGGCUACGCUCAUGUGCAGCUCCCGCUACACUCCGUAGGCUGAAUGUAACCCUUUCACAUCGUAAUCGUCCUCAAAAUGUGUUUCUUGACACCAAUAACACUUCUCUAUCUUUCCUGAUUCCAUCGAAAAGCACAAAUGUGUUUUUAAAUCCAUGUUUUUUGUGGUCUACUUCUUGGAGAGGAAUCGCUGUCUUGACCAUUUCUUUUCUUCCAGUCAUGAGGAGAACAAGGACGAACGCAGAUGUAAACACAGGAAAAUAAAACGCCUGGAUGAGAAGC
rnacentral:lncRNA from 13 species